rnacentral:lncRNA from 1 species
AAGAGUCUGUAAGAGCAACUAAUGGAUUUGAUCAGCCAGCUCUGCCUAGCCAGAAAUAGCAGUGGAUUGCACUGGUCGAAACACUGCCAGCUUGAACUAAAGGGAAUAUCUACUUUAUGCCUAUCCCAUCGUAUUUUGGAAGCACACUUGGGAUUCACAGAUAAAAGGAAAUUUUGCCACAGGAUCAAUUAUACCUCACAUCACACCCAUAUCUGGGACUUAGAUGAUAUUUAGAUAAAAGUAAAUUUUAGGCUUUAAAGUUGAUGCUGGAACAAGUUAACUGGGAGCUGUUGGAAUCAAAUAAAUGUAUUUUGUGUAUUUGAAGGGCAUAAAUUUUGGGGGACCAAGGACAAAAUGUUGGGGUCUCAAUAAUCGUGUCCUCCCUAAAUUUAUGUGUUGAAGCACUAAACCCAUAGUAUGGCUGUAUGUGGGAGUGAAGUCUUUAAGGAAGUAAUUAAGGUUAAAUGAGGUCAUCUGCGUGAGGCCCUGAUCUGACAGAAUUGGUGUCCUUGUAG